rnacentral:rRNA from 1 species
GACGAACGCUGGCGGCGUGCUUAACACAUGCAAGUCGAACGGAAAGGCCCUGCUUUUGUGGGGUGCUCGAGUGGCGAACGGGUGAGUAACACGUGAGUAACCUGCCCUUGACUUUGGGAUAACUUCAGGAAACUGGGGCUAAUACCGGAUAGGAGCUCCUGCUGCAUGGUGGGGGUUGGAAAGUUUCGGCGGUUGGGGAUGGACUCGCGGCUUAUCAGCUUGUUGGGGGGGUAGUGGCUUACCAAGGCUUUGACGGGUAGCCGGCCUGGGAGGGUGACCGGCCACACUGGGACUGAGGUACGGCCCAGACUCCUACGGGAGGCAGCAGUGGGGAAUAUUGCACAAUGGGCGGACGCCUGAUGCAGCAACGCCGCGUGCGGGAUGACGGCCUUCGGGUUGUAAACCGCUUUCGCCUGUGACGAAGCGUGAGUGACGGUAAUGGGUAAAGAAGCACCAGCUAACUACGUG